rnacentral:tRNA from 1 species
GAGGGUGUAGCUCAAUGGUACAGUAUGUUCUUAAGAUGCACAAGGUCCUGGGUUCAAUCCCCAGCACAUCCA